UACGAAGGGGGCUAGCGUUGCUCGGAAUCACUGGGCGUAAAGGGUGCGUAGGCGGGUCUUUAAGUCAGGGGUGAAAUCCUGGAGCUCAACUCCAGAACUGCCUUUGAUACUGAAGAUCUUGAGUUCGGGAGAGGUGAGUGGAACUGCGAGUGUAGAGGUGAAAUUCGUAGAUAUUCGCAAGAACACCAGUGGCGAAGGCGGCUCACUGGCCCGAUACCUGACGCUGAGGCACGAAAGCGUGGGGAGCCAAACAGGG
rnacentral:rRNA from 1 species